GAUGAACGCUGGCGGCGUGCCUAAUACAUGCAAGUCGAGCGAACUGAUUAGAAGCUUGCUUCUAUGACGUUAGCGGCGGACGGGUGAGUAACACGUGGGCAACCUGCCUGUAAGACUGGGAUAACUUCGGGAAGCCGAAGCUAAUACCGGAUAGGAUCUUCUCCUUCAUGGGAGAUGAUUGAAAGAUGGUUUCGGCUAUCACUUACAGAUGGGCCCGCGGUGCAUUAGCUAGUUGGUGAGGUAACGGCUCACCAAGGCAACGAGGCAUAGCCGACCUGGGAGGAUGAUCGGCCACACUGGGACUGAGACACGGCCCAGACUCCUACGGGAGGCAGCAGUAGGGAAUCUUCCGCAAUGGACGAAAGUCUGACGGAGCAACGCCGCGUGAGUGAUGAAGGCUUUCGGGUCGUAAAACUCUGUUGUUAGGGAAGAACAAGUACAAGAGUAACUGCUUGUACCUUGACGGUACCUAACCAGAAAGCCACGGCUAACUACGUGCCAGCCGCCGCCGUAA
rnacentral:rRNA from 1 species